UACUAGUGAAUGCUUUUUGGGGUCUACCAGAGUCAGGAACUCUCAACAAGGCCCUUUUCGCUUCUUCUCUGCCUGCUUCCAAAGCCUCCCGAGGAAUGUCCCUAGCUUGGGCUGCCGGAUCCGAAAACUGCCCUGUUCCUGUGAGGUGCUCUAUAGUCAAUGCAGCUAAGGCGGCAUUAGCAUGUCCUGCAUAACCCAGCAAAACUGUCUGCAAUCCCGUUCUCCAUUGAGACUCCCACAUUGUAUAUUGUGUUGGGGUUAAUAACAAUCGCGCGAGAGAUUUUAAAUCAUGUGGGGUCAUGACAUAUGUAUCGAAUACAGAAGAUAAGGCUUGCAAAAUAAGGGGAAGACAACCCAUGCUCGGUAACUGUACGGCGCAACUCCUUAAUGACCGAAAAAGAAAGAGCUUCCCACUGAGCCUGAGCCCCCCCCCCGUCCUUGGUAUAUAACGGGGGCUACUAUAGUUCUGGCUAUUUCCAACUCCCCCUCGUUUAUCGCUUGGCGCUUAAUCUUUCCCCAAACCUCAUGAGGAUCAGGGGGAAAAAGAUCAGGUUCCUUUUCAGGGUCAAUCGGACCCGGGUCAAAGGGAUCACCCUCCGGGGGAUAUCCAGCAGCACAAGCUAACGGUGGCGCAGAGGGUUCCGCCCCACCAGCGAUUUUAGAAGGGCAGGGGGGAGGUGACUGAGCUCCCUCCUCGGAGCCUCGCUGAUUUUGCUCUUGUGCCUUUAUGGUUUCAAAGAUUUUUCUCCAACUGGGGAGCAUAUGCUGCGCUUCCUCAUCUCCUGAGGUAGCUGCGUCCCAUAACUUUACCCCCACAUCGUCCCAAAGUUCACGCGUAAAAAUAGAAGAAGCAGUCACCGCGGGGAUCUUAACCUGCACCCAUUUAAGGAUUAACUUAAGAUCUUGUUCCGAAAGAGUCUUUUUCCCAUGCUUCUUAAGUAGAGCUUUCAUAAGCUCAUAAACGUCUCUCUCAGGGGAAGACUCCUGAUUCCCCGUUUGUUAGUUUCCCGCAGCUCACCUCUCGUUCCAGACGGAGGGAUUGUUUGGCCGGCCGGCUUAUCCUGCUUCCUUUCAGCAGCUCAUUCCACGUUCUGCGGGACUCGCGACAUGCCACCAGUUUGGACAGAGCAGCGAUGGGACCCUGAUGAUAGAUGGCAACUUUGCACCUGUGCUUGUGUGAACAAAUUGCUGCCCCGUGUUUCCCAUUCUGGACAUUGUCUUAGUACCUGUGCUAUGCAGAUCAAAGCUUUGGAUAGUACCAGUGUUUGAUUUUCCUGCAUGCUGAACCACGUAUCCAGCGGUUUGAGCGGGUGAGCAAACGGUUGAAGCUUCAGUGCAAGCCCAGGUGACAGCUGUGCUCCAGGCCUGCCUCCGCGGCUGCUCCCAGCUACACGGACUACAAAGUCAGCAACAUCACUUGGAUGGAAUAAACCUUAUUAAUCCAACUCUUCAAGGCUACCUACAACAUUCACCUGAAUAGCACUGUGAAUAAAAGAACCACCAAAAUCACUCACAAAAAGAAAUCACUAUAUCCUGUUUAA